CUACGGGGGGCUCCAGUGGGGAAUAUUGCACAAUGGGCGCAAGCCUGAUGCAGCAACGCCGCGUGGGGGACGAAGGCCUUCGGGUUGUAAACCUCUUUUAGUAGGGAAGAAGCGCAAGUGACGGUACCUACAGAAAAAGCACCGGCUAACUACGUGCCAGCAGCCGCGGUAAUACGUAGGGUGCAAGCGUUGUCCGGAAUUAUUGGGCGUAAAGAGCUCGUAGGCGGUUUGUCGCGUCUGCUGUGAAAAUCCGAGGCUCAACCUCGGACCUGCAGUGGGUACGGGCAAACUAGAGUGCGGUAGGGGGGAUUGGAAUUCCUGGUGUAGCGGUGGAAUGCGCAGAUAUCAGGAGGAACACCAAUGGCGAAGGCAGAUCUCUGGGCCGUAACUGACGCUGAGGAGCGAAAGCGUGGGGAGCGAACAGGAUUAGAUACCCGAGUAGUC
rnacentral:rRNA from 1 species